CGAACGGGUGAGUAACGCGUGAGGAACCUGCCUCAAAGAGGGGGACGAACAGUUGGAAACGAACGCUAAUACCGCAUAACAUACCGGGACCGCAUGAUUCUGGUAUCAAAGGAGCAAUCCGCUGAAAGAUGGGCUCGCGUCCGAUUAGCUAGUUGGCGGGGUAACGGCCCACCAAGGCGACGAUCAGUAGCCGACCUGAGAGGGUGACCGGCCACAUUGGGACUGAGACACGGCCCAA
rnacentral:rRNA from 1 species